CUAGCCAGAACGCGGUUUGUCCGACACGGGUAACCAAUGAACAGGGGAAUUCUCACGGCUAGCCAAUCUGACACCCUGGGAGCUAGAGAUUUGGAAGAAGUCUCGUUUUCGCCUUCUGGGUUGCACUACACUGUCAGGUGCUUGAGAUCUGGGAGCUUCCUGGAAAGUGCAGUCUAAUUAGAGCGGAGCCUCCUUCAUGACCAAAGAUCGUUAUAAAAAAAAUGGCCAGACGAAUAUGGGGACUGCCCAUAUUGGUCUUGCCAGACAUGCUAGGAUCAUGAACCAAUCACUUCUAUCAACAAUGCAAGAACUCUUUUUCCACAUACAAGACCCAUGGAGUCCUAGGUGGGAGACCGGAGUUGUGGAAUUCCAGCCGCUGUCCACAGAGGAGCCUCUGUCCACAGAGGAACCUGAUGUGAAUGUUUACCAAGUGGACCCCGGUAGUGAAAGUCAGCUACACCCAAAAUUGACAAUGCCCCUAGACAGCAGGAAGCUGUUUAAGAGACCUGACACCCCUAUUCCCCUUUCACCAUCUGCUUCCCCCUCCCCCCUUUUUUCCUUCUCUUUAUGAUAAGAAAAAAGGAAGUAUGUUGGCAUCAGAAGCCAGCUUCUGAAUCCAGUGAUGACAUUACCCAUAGGCAACAGGGACCUGCACAUCUGUAGCUGUGGCCUCUGUUCAGCUGCCCACCCUCAUCUGCGCCAGCGGUACAUGCGGUUACAUCGUGGCCUAAAUAAAAGGCAAAGCCCUCUAACCUCUCUCUUUCCUCCUCCUUCUUCAUCUAACUCCUCCUUUGUCCUCCCCCAAGCUCCCAAUAAACC